AAGUUUAGGCUAUAAUAUAACAUCACGCUGCGACCAAUAAGAACGAAGAAUCAGUGGAUAAUGUGGAAAAACGGGGAAAAUUAUUAUAUUAUUUGUGAAAUUUUGUAAUC